ensembl:lncRNA
CUGUGGUGACAGCAGGCAGCAGAGGUCUCAGCCAGCCCCAGCAGGCAUGCUAAGUGAUAGAUGAACGCAACAUCUCACUCUACAGCAUUUCAGUUCAGUUUCAGUGUGCAUUAAGGUUUGCCUGUGCUGCAGAAUCCUGGUGCAGCCUCCAAAGAAAAACCCUGUUGUGGAAUGUGCAAGCUGGUGUUUAAUACAUGAGCCCUUCGCAGCAGGUUGAGCAAUCAGAAGCGCUGCCGCUUCCCUGCAUGCCCUGGGAACUGCGGACUGUUCAGGUGCUGUGGGGCUACAAGGACAAUCUGAUCUGCUUCAGCUUCUUCUAUGCUCUUUGCUGGGUCACUUCUUAGGAAGAAGGUGGGUCAUCCCAUAUGAUUUCUUUCCCCUCCCUGCCUUGGCCACCAUGUCCACCCUGGGAAGGUGAUUGCCACGGCCCAGAAUGACGUUUCUCCCUCUUAGCAAAGUGAGCUUGCAGCGCUGAGCCCCUCUCCCCAGACUGAGUGCUGUCAAAAUUGCUGCAUUCCAAAGGAGCCUCAUUCUACAGGUAUUUCCUUUCUGCUCUGCUAUGUGUCUGUGUAUCAGUUAGGAGGCUGAGAACAGCUGAGCAUCAGCGAUCUCCUUGUGCUGUGUUCCAUCCUGCGGCUCGUCGCUCCAUCUCUGAGAUCCAUAGGCUUCAUUUCAGCUCUUUGGCAAUGCUUCUUCUAACCUUGCUGCAAGAAGUCCUUGUGGCCAAUGCAUCCUCCCUAACGAGGCUGACGGGCUGCUGGCGAAAGGUGCCAGAGGAUGGAAGCUGGGGAGCCAUCCCGCCAUGCUGAGGGCUUCUGUCCUGCGGUGCAGGCUGCUGGGAUCUGCCUUCCAUUGUGCUACUGAAACAUCAUCAAAGCCAGGAAAUGAGAGUGCCAUUCCAGUGAAAACCUUUGCAGUGCUGCAGCAGAGAGCCUUAAAUUCAAAGCAGUACUUUAAAAAUCAAAACUAGAAGGCGCUGCAUUAGGCCAGUGAAUGAUUCCAGCUUACACUGCCCACACAUUUGGGAAGGAUGCUUCAUCACUUCACUGCUACAUUUGUCACCUGACACCUGAGGACAGGUCACUGGAUCACAGUUCCUUACUGCCCUGCAGCUGGGGAAGGAGUUUGCAGCCCUUCUGCUGAGAAGACAGGGCUGGAUCUGCAGCCAUUAAAAGGAGCAGAAGAAGAUUUCCUCGAAUUCCUGCAUUGCUGUGAGCUGACACAAGGGCACGGCGCUCCACGCAGCAACCACCAGAUGUGCAGUGCAGGGUGUGUGUCGUGGAGCUAAUUUGGUUGUUGCCUAGAGAGCAAGGAGUUAAAGAGCAAAUGGUUUGCAGAUAGGUGUCUGGAGAAAAUCCUGAGCAGCACUGUUCCUUGGAUGAUUCACUUGCACAUUCCUGCUGCAGUAACCAGAAGCUGAAGGAGCUGAGCUCAUAGGCUGAGUCUGCCUGUGCACCCUAUGGUAGUUUGCACGGUAUGGAUUUGCUAAUGAGGGAGGGCCACAGUGAUCAUUACUUAUGCAGCAUCUCAGGAAAGAUUAAUGGCUGUAUAUCUGGCUCUUCUCAUAGCCCAUAAAUCUUCACUGCAGUUAAUGAGUCUUUAUUGAUUCUGUCAGGUAGGGUAAUUUCCAUUUCUUUCAUCAAGGCACGUUAAAUACACGCUUAUCUACUUUUCUUUUCUUAUUAUUAUUUGUUUCCAGUUAUCUCUUCGCUUGUCUAAUCAAGUCUGGAAAAAAUAAUUGUCAUUAAUUCACUGACCUGAACCUGGGCCGAGCUGUUCCGUCACAUUCAGCCAGUGGAAAACUAAUCCAACAGAAAUAUGCAUUAUAUUCCCCUACAUUGCCACCUUGAAACGUCUCGGCACCGCCUCCCUGCAGUACUGGUGCUGCCACAGGGACAGGGACACGAGCUGAAGUCUCCAUGAAGUCCUGUAUGGAACAAAGGCCAGAAGGAAGUCGUGAUUUCAGUGUGUCUACUGUACUGGAAGGAAAAACAGAACAAACAGAUCCUCCUUGAAACUCUUCCCACAACCAAACUUUUAAUGUUUUUAUGAGAGAUCUGCACAUGUAUUCACAUUUAUCAGCAUAUGCAAAUCUCCCACUGAAGGGAAGCAGGCUGUGUCAGAGCAGUGGAGGUAGAAGCUGACAGUAGAUCUCUACAGCUGUCAAAACAACGGCCUGGUAGAAUGCAGCCAUCAAAACACGAGUCUUGUGUGCACAUCUCAGACUUGGCUGUUCAAUCUCUUGCACCAGAAGCUCCUAUGGCAAAUGUUUUUGAAACACGGAUGAUCCGAGUGCAUCAGAAAGAAAGCAAUAGCUGUGACAUCUUGGUCUCCAUCCUCAAAAGGCACUGGGAAUUCCAAACAAUCUAGUAAUUGGAAUUCAUAGCUAGUUUCUGUAUGAAAAGUCAGCUGUAGAAAAUAGUGUGUUUGAAAGUAUCCCCUACUCCAUACAUCAGCAUGUAACCCGGAAGCUUUCCUUCCUUGCAGUUCCCUUUGGGUUGCUUUUCCCAGUAAGAGGUCCUACCCCCUUUUUGACCAGAGGCUCUUGUGGUAAAGGGGAGCGCUGUGGGACUUCCAAGCUGGAGUGGAGGGAGAAGCGGGUAGUGAGGCAAUGCUGUGCUAUUGGAAGUUGUGCUGUUGUAAACCAUGGGAACAGCUGACCUGAGGAAUCUGCGAGAAACAAUCCUCUAUCGUCAGACACUGAAUAAUCUAAUGACUUAUUUCAGUUUCUUAAAAAUUGCCUUUUCAUCAGUUGAAAGUUGCAAAUUGCUGGUUUAAUGAGUCCCAAGCAGAGAAAAUAGAAAUAAAAAUAUAUGAAUCUUAUCUAAUAAAUGCUGAGCACUAGACAGGCAUGACUAAAGCAAACUAACCUGCAGAUUUUAUAUCUCUUAGGGUCUGUUGCAGACAGCUUGGUUCAAAACAGCCAACGAAAGAACAGAGCUGCAGCAGGUCUGCCUCGGCACCACUUGCUGCAGCUCCUGGAGGAGCAGCGUUGCAUUUUCUGUUUGGUAAACUGCUGACAGUGCUAACAAACAGUACCAUCUUUGAAACAGCAAACUGAGCAUGUGCCAUCCCUUUGAAGGACACAUGCUGAAAUGCAGGAUGAGUAGUUCCAGAUAAGCCAGCACAGUAUGUCAGUACCUUCAGCGUGUUGCACAAACUUGCUGAUAGGGGACAAAACAAAAACCACAGAAACAAAAGCAGCUCAACAUAUUGUUCUGGUGAAAUGAGAACUCUCUCCCCAGUGUCUGUAUGCUUUGUUUAAUGGAUCAUGGGAGCCUCAGGAUUCACCAGUGUCUCACGAAGCUGCACCAGGCGAUGGCAGAUGGCAGCAGGAGCACGCGGUACAAGAAUGCGCCCUUCUCUUAAAUGCAGCAUGAGGGUGGAGGCCCUGGGCUUCUUUCCACGCAUGACUCAAAUGAAUCUUCUGCCUAAUGAGUAGCAUUUUGAAGUCAGCUUAAAAAUCCUAUAGUGAUCCUAUCUAACCAGCUUCUCCUACGUAAAGAUUAAUUUUUUAUAAUGGUGGUUUUCUUUCCAGUUGCCCAGGGCAGUUAUUUGCUAGGGCAGCCUCCUAUCAGCUGAGAUAACAAGGGCAAAGACUGACAGUCCAGCAGAGUCUGGGUUGUGCUCAUUUCUGGGGGAGCAGCGGAUACUAUUAAUGGUGUUCAGGCCUAAAUGGAACCAAGUGUCUCAUUGGGAAAAUAUGUUGGGGAGAAAGGGCUGUGCUAGGGGGCUGCAUACCCAGAUUGUGCUCCUGUUGGAUGACUGGCUGAUAAAACCAGCACUCCUAUAUAACCUUGCAAAAGUCAUUAAUGAAGCUUCAGUGCCUCACAGUGAUGGUGGUGCUCCCAGCUGAUGGAGACAUGCUGGAGCAAGCUGCAGUAACAGUGUCUGACUGGCAGUCUUCCCUGCUGGGUGCUGCUGUCAGGAAGGCACAGUAGAGACUACGUAGGCAUAUUGAAAUAGGGUAUGAGAUCAAAUCAUCUAAAAGAUCUGCAAGGACCCUUGUUGUCUUCUUCCUUGCAGUUUGCAAAUUGCUGCUGUAUACUGAUUUUAUCUGAUUUCAAAUGUAACUUAAGAGACUGUUUGGUAGGCAAGAGCAUCUCUAAACUAGUGGUGAGCCUUUGGGGGCUGUGUGGCAGGUGACACAGGCUGGAGGUUUCCAUAAGUAUAGGAUCCAGUUGGCAGCAUAGGCUGGUGCCCUUGGAGGUGGUAUUGCUGCAAUGGGCGAUCUGUGUCCUCAGCUGAGCACUGGCACAGAACUAGCUGUGGAUGCCAGAGCCUCGAUUUCUUCUUCCAAGUAGCAAUGGGCUGCAAAAAUUAACAUGAGUAAAAUCCAUCUCCAUCCUAGGAACAUGUAAACAUCUGGACGAGUAGUUAUGAAGAUUAAUGUUAUGCACAGGGUCAGAAUUCCCACUGACAUUUGCUCAGUUUGCCCAAGCAAGUUAGUGGAAACCUCCUGUGAAUAUGAACCGUACUCUGCAGUGCUGCGCAGGCAUUUAACAGCUUGGAUGCCAGUCUCCUUACAGGCACAUCAGUAAGUCUUAGUCUUUAAUUGCCUUAAAAUAUAAUAUUGGAAGAAAAAAAGUCAUAGAGGUAUGUGUAACUUUUAAGACUAAGUGGAAAAGAAGUAAACAACAAUGAAGUUAUCCCCAUCUUUGGACUUAAAAUCAGUCCUGACUGAGGCAGUUCUUCAAGGAGAGUGGGUGACAGCUGUCUGUCAGGUCUGAGCAACACGUCUUCUGCACUGAUGAUCAAUGCCUGAAAUAACGCUGAGGUGCAGCAGUAGCUGUGUAUCAUUCACAGGAAGGCGGCAGCUGCUCCAAGUACAGCACUGAGCGUGAAUGCCUGCUGUCUCGUGGUCAGCGGUUACUGCUCUGCCUGAAGCCUGGCUGUGCCUGUGGUCAGAUGCUCUGACAUCAAAGGUACUGUUGGCUCCUUUGGGCUGGUGAACUUUAUUGAAAGCAUGCCAUGUUUGGAGUCCCAUGAGCAGGUAACGUGCAUCCAUCUGAGUGUGCAGGUUUGAACGUGUCUGCCAUAAGGUAUUUGAAUCUGGAGGCAAUGUGAUGCUUGCUAUGCAAUAAAAUCAAGAAUACACAGUUUUUUAGUGUCUAAACCCCUCCCAAUCCUCCCCUAUUCUGAAUGUACUGUUAUCAUUACAUCGAUACUUGCUGUGUAAUACACUUUAAAUGAGUGUGAAUGUGCUAUGGACUAAUGUGGUUAUCUCCAUAUGGCAGGAAGUUGCUUGGUCGGAGGUCAUCUCCAUACUGGUGUAAUUCCAGGCAUGUUGCUGGUUUUAAUAAUAUAAUGACGAUAAUUGAUGUUCUAAAACUGGUAAGGUCAGUGUUCACUGGCUGCUACAUUUACUUGGCAGCCAGCUCAGCAGUAUUAACACGAAAUGAGGCACAAAUCCCACGUCCUGCUCCCAGGCCUGAUAGCAGAAUGGGUGCUCCAAUGAAUCGCAGUGCUGUUUACUCCUUUGGCACUCCUUUCUUGCUGACCUCUGCCCAGGUGUGCCAUGCAGCAGGGUAAGACGGGGUGAAGCCAGGGCCAACCUGAAAAGCCCUCACGUGGCAGUUUUGCCAUGACGAGUUAAUCACAGCAUUUGCUGGUAUUAUUCCAGACUUUUUUUCCCCCUUUGGAUGUGUGCAGGUUCACAGAAUAAAGGCAGGACGACUGUUGAAUGUGUAUUAAUGGCUAUAAGAAAUAUAGGUCCCAGUUUGCCAGUUGUUCUGCCAGGUUCUCAGACAGGAAUGUUUAGGGAGCUUUUUCUCGGCAUGGUGCAAAGCCUGCAGCUAAGAAAAGAGCCCAGGGAAGAUAAUCUGCCUUUUUCCAUGUUCAGCAUUUCCCACCCGGUGUGAACCUAAAUCAUGUGGAUUUCACUACUGGCUCUGCAAUGUUACGGGGAGAUAAGGCGGUAACAACUCAUUUGUAUCCCCAGAUGAGAUAAACCAGAAGCACAUCUCCCCGUUUGUGAGUGGCUUCCUAUCAGAGGAUCUGCCAGAACAGCAGUGCCCUGGAAAUAUCUGACUGCACAAAAAUCAAAAGGAAAUUAGAGAUUGGCUUUGUUAAGGACACCUCCUGUUCUAUGGCACUGUCACUCAAUCGCUGCGUGGGAGUGCAUACAUUGUCUACAGGUGGUAGUGAGGAGGAGUCAAAGCUUCAGAGAGAGCUGCAGGAACAGCUGGACCUCAUAAGAGCUGCAAAAGAAGAUUCCCCAGCUAAAACAUGUCCAUGGAGAGCCAUAUGUGCAUAGCUGUUAGGAUUUUGGAAUCAGUGUGGUGGAAUGACAGGGAGAUGAUGGGAAAGUGAUUUCUUGAAACUUCAGCAUAUGCUUUUCAUUUGUGUGAGCUGGCACUGCCACGAGCCAGAGGAGGCUUGCAGCAAGCGGGGCCAUGCGGGACUGGCACCUGCUCAGCUGUGCUCGGGUGACUUCUGGACCUUCUGGUACUAAAUGAAGACGGACAUUGACUAACAUUUGUUCAAGGCCAUCUAUGUAAAACAUAUCCGAAAGGUCUUUGCGAAGCAAAGCUUUGCAUGGCCCCAAAAAGGAAUUCAAAAAACAAGUUGGAUAAACAAGAAGAACUUUCUGUCUGCUCGGAAACAUGUAGGCUAAUGUCCUUGAGCGAGUGCCAGGCCUCCGGGGGUUACGUCCAGGGAACGUGAGUCAAGCCUCGCCAGGCUCUGUCACCUGCAGCUUUGUGUGCAAUGCUAUUCCUUCAGAUAUUUCAGGAAGAGGUGAUUUUCUCUGCACUGUUGUCAUGGGUUGCGAUUGGGUUUGGUGGAGCCUUGCAGCGUCCUGACCGAACGUUCAGUGCCAGUCCAUAAGAACAUCCUGCUUCACUUUCAUGUCCAAAGCUACUGCGAUGCUUUGCCAACUCUGAGCACAGCAUUAAAAUAAAAGAGAGACUUGAUCCACUUGACAUUCAUGGAUAAGUAUUUUUUUUUUCCCUUCUUUAUUUUCCCAUUAGAAGUGUUCAACAGAAGCUGUAGAUGCUCGGUAUCAUCCAGGCUGUUGCCUGAGGGUGGAACAAUGAAGAUUCUUUUGGAAAGUGGCUAAAAUGUGGGGCCGUGAGCAUUAGGCCAUUUGGCACUUGUGUGAUCUUCCCUGCUCACAGCCACGAGGAUCAGUCACCAGAGGCUGAAAUCUUUGCUGCCAACUUUCAGCCCAGGAAAGGUGUUAGAGAUUGAAUUGCACUGUGAUCCUUGGGAAAAGAGGGCAUAUCUUUGUCAUUUUGUGUUACUGACAUUUCUAGGGAUUUUGACAGAAGGAAGAUAGCAGGAAUGUACAACUCCUGUCAGUGAGCAUCCCGAAAUAUUUCUGAGUAAAUGAUGACAGAUGCUUCAAGCCAGAGAUGCUGUUAGACACUGAGAAAUAGUGAUUUUCUUUUACUCUCAGCUGAAACUCUGAUUAUUUUAUUUUCCCAAGCAAAAGGUCAAUAUGACAUGCAUGUCAUAUAAUCAUACCGCAACUCUUAUAUUUCAUUCUUGCCAUUGUUUUUUGUGUGUAAGUGGAGAUAAAACAGCUAAAUGCAUUGAAAAAAAAACAGUUGAUCACUAGGCAGGAGACAGGCAGUGCUAAAAAAAAGUUUCCCUGGUUCAAGUAGUAUUUCUUACUUAAAAACAAGUUUUAUUUGGCUUGUGUGCAGAGCUCUGUCUUCAUAAACCUUUAAUCUCAGAGCUGUCAAACCUCCUUUGACCCAGAGUUUACAGUAAAUAGAAAAAAAAAAUGACAAAGAUGCUCUUCUGUAGAAAAGUGAGCUCAGGGAAUGUAGUUCAAGGUAAAAAUCUUCUAGUGUUGUUUCAGCAGCAUUAAUGGAAAUUGAUUCAAGGGAGACUUUUCAGGAUCAUUCCUGAAUCUCUAAAGCCAAAGCAUUGAGAAAAUGAUAAAAUACCUUGAAUUUCUGAUCUUCCAGGGGAGUCCUGAGUGGCCUCUGCAGCGGGUGAGAGGAGAAGGCAGACGGCAUGGAGCUGUGCUGGAGACAUGGCAGCAUGCAGGUCAUUACACAGAUGAAUUUCAUCCAAGACUGCUGCUCACUGGGACACCUGAGACAACAGGCCACACAGAGCCAAAGGGCAGUUGUAAACUGAAAUAGGCAGAGUUGCAAACCGGUCUCUCCUUCCUGAUUGCAGUUGAGUGGUAGAAGCCUGAAGAACUCCUGCUGCCCAGGCUGCCAGGAUUUCUCAGAAAGACACCCACAUGAUCACCGUGGUGCUCGCAGAAGCCUUUGUUGGGAAGAAGCUCACCCAGCCUGGCAAAGGGAGCAGGAGGGAGAGAAGCCCAUGUGAGAAAGCAAGUGGGGGCCCAACCUCUAUGGGCUUUGUCCCUGGAGAGCCUGAAAGGACACACUGCUUCAGAUCUGCUUCCCAAGGAUGGUGUGCAGGACUUCCAGAGGAACAUUUGGAGCUCCCCAUGGACCAUUUUGCCCAACCAGCAAAAGCUUACUGAAGAAGAUAAGGGAGAAUUUCCUUUUGUUUCCCUCUGCUAGCUCAUAGCUUUGACCCUCCUGUCCCUAUUCACUGCUGGAUUUUGUUUCAUAGCAUAGGUGCCCUGGGGGACAACGGUGCGCAGUUUGCACAGCGGACGUGCAGGACUCAGUGCAGCCCAACUUCCCACCCAUUUACCCACUCCUUCAGGGCAGUUUCAUUGCCUGCACCAAGCACCCAGGAGCACAGCUGGCUGAUGCCACUGCCAGCAUCCAGGCAGACUCUUGUGAUCCCAGCCACGGCCAGCAGACUGCACGUAGAUUGAUUUCACUCUCAGUUUUGCAGCUCGGGCCAACUGGGAAUGUAAACCGCACUGACCAAGCAGAGUUGGGGAAGCUGCCAGCAAAUGCAGAAAAAAGGAAAGGAAGGAAGAUGUGGAAAGCAUGAGAAGUGUUUUGGAAUAGACAUCAGUGUCCAGAGCCCAUUGGAAGCAUGCUGUAUGCAGGCGUCUCCCAGCGCUUGAUGAAGAGUGAAAAAAUGAAGAGUAAGGCAGAAGAGCCAAACCAACACAUUCAGGAGAUACAGUAUUCCCAGCACGCGGAUUUUUAUGGUGCAUCUGAGAACCAACCACAAUGAGAAAGAAACUUCAAAAGGAAAGUCAGGAGGAAGAAGCGUGGAGGGAAUUCAGACAGCAAGGAGCAGAGCAUGGCAGCGGCGCUGGGUUUGCUGUUGGCAUUGCUCCCCGCUCUCCUGCAGUCCCAGCUGGACCCCAAGGGCUGGGGACCCAGCAAGGCAGCCUGUGUUAAGGGCAGGCAGGUCUUUGGGAGUAUGGGAUUUCAGGUUUUCAGUGCCCUCGCAGCAGGUUGCAAUAGCAGGGCAAGUCCAAGAUACGGUAGAUGUAGCUCCUUUGUACCUCUGCAGUGAUUUCUACUUUGAAUGACAGUAAAUACCUGUUACCCCAUCUUCAAAGAGUCUGACAUCAAGAAAAUGUGUUGGGAUUAGGAAACAUCGUUCUAGUGAGCAGGUACCUGCGGAAGACCCUUAGCCAGUUUGGCUCCUGGCAGGCUGAGCUUGCAGCUGGCUGCGGGUAAAUCCAGACAAGUGUCCACGACAGCAGUCAGCUGGGCUGAUGUGUGCAGGAGGAGUGCCUCGGCUCACUGAAAGGUGGCCAGAUGUGAUGGAGUAUAUUCUGAGCAACUCUUAUUCAGGAGUCAAGACUUUCUGGGAAUAUUUCCCAAAUUAAAUGGAAAAGUAAUUCCUUUAAGCCAGCCAGGCAUGACUGACAUGACAAAUGGCGAAGAGGCUACCUGGAGCCAUCACUGCCCAGCCUCUCCACGGCUUGGUCAGCCCUGCAGCUCAUCUUUGGGAAAUGACUGGGGUUACUGUGUUCCAUUAAAAAUGUCACUUCAUCCACGGACCAGAGGGAGACUCUCAGCUGCCUGGAAACAGCAUAAUUUUAUCAAAACCAGUCAAGAGGUAGCAGGGUGCAUCACUGGAGCAUCUGGGCUGCUGUGUUCUUUUGAUUUUUUAUUACACGGCUUUUCGCUUGGGGAUUUCAAUGCCUUUCCCUCGUGGUUUGUAUGUAACAGAAUGCAUUGCUGCAGGAGAGUACAUCAUCAGUGUGAGCGCUCUGUGUCAUUUUCUGACACAGAAUCAAUAUGAUUUUUGCUACGUUGCUGUCAACUUGGCUUCAACAAAUGUUACAGACCUGCUGUCCUCAGCAUAGUACGUCUUCAGUGUAGGAGAUAGCCUUGACCAAAAAAUCAAAUACUGUUAUCCCAGUUUAUUGGAAGAGAACAGAGCCCUGGAAAUACCUGAGAUGUUCAAGAAAGCAUAACUCUCCCACAGCUGCAUUCUGUAGGCAUUAAAUUGGUCUAACCGGCUUCCAGAAGCGCAUCCCGAGCCUCCCAGCACGGAAUCAUCCCCCUGGUAUGACCAGGGGAACGUCUCAUGUCCGUCCUCUCCACCAGCAUCACUGUGUACCUAUUAGCACUGAGACUGCACCACUGUAUCUCUGUGGGAUGCCCGAAUGCCAGGUGGUCUGCUGAACCCAGGAAGGAAGACAUGGAGUGUGUUUUGGGAUACCCAGUGUGGCCAUCAGCCUGGCUUACACAUCUCGGGGUGAGCAGUCACAGCGUGCUUGCAUUUAGCUGCACACAGCACAAGGCUGGCACAGCUGGGAUAUUACAGACUCGAGGUCGAUGUGCUAGACAGUAGAUUUGCAGUUUGCGCUCCAGUUUCCAUCUCAGGCACGUGGGGCUAACAGCACACAUGCUCCGGGAGCACAUACCCCUCAUCCAUCUGGGAUUCCCCAUUCAGAAGUACGGCGGCUCUGCAAUCCUAUUUCAUACCUCGCGAUGCUGGGGUGUCGUUGCUCACUCUGGGAAGCAGCAUUUUAUCUCCAAUUCCAACUUACAUACUCCUGCAGCCUGUUUUCCACCCGAGCACCCUCCCCAGGUCUGGGGCUAAAUUUAGCUGCCAGCAAGUACAAUUGUACUUGUACAAUUCAGCUGACUUCAACAGAGCCACCCAGGAGGGCACAACUGGUCUGUCUGCAUGUCUUGUGUGAUGCUGUGGAGUCUCCUGGAUGGAAGGUUGGAGUGGUGGCUAACAUGCGUGAGGGUCACAGUGCUGAAGAGGAUCAGUGGAGGACACUGUGGGGGGGGGCCUGUCUCAGAAACCAGGAGUCUGAUGUUGGAGAAGUGCAGUGAGUUGAGGAAUGGUGCUUCUGCUCUUCCCAGACACACCUAUAGGUGGAAUGAUAGGUGCCUUUCCUAUCAGAUUUAAAGGUCAGAUUUGGUGAUCACAUGAUUUACCUGCUCUUCAUUGAAGCUGAUGGCCAGCAUGGCCAGGACAGCCCAUGGAGCUACCUCCCUGCAAGCUGGGAGUGCUUGGUGGCCAUGUCCUAUCAGCAGAAGUGAAGAAAUUGUUCUGGAGUCAGCAUGGGGCUUUCUGCAAAAUGCACAUUGUAAUCCCCUGACUUUCAGGUUUGCACAAACAGGACCACCUUGCACCUGGUUUUGUAUAGCCCAAAUGCUGCUCAUGCUGCUCAUUGAUUCAAGUGAACUUUGCUUUAAAAAAAGAUGGUGGUUUAUAACCUUAGUGCAGUGCCAGCACCUCUGCAACUUGUUCUUUGCAUACCAUCAAGCUGUGCAGUGCGGUGCAGGUGGCAGGGUGGGGACAGCCCUUGCUGCAUCCCUUUUGUUGUGUUGCCUGUACAGUGCCGUCCUGGCACUUAGCAGGUUCUCCUUUUCCUUCUCCUUUCCUUUACCUCGCCUCCCCUCUCCCUCUUCCCUUUCCUUUCCUUCUUCCCUUUCCCUCCCCUUUCCCUCCCCUCCCCUUUCCCUCCCCUCCCCUUUCCCUCCCUUUUCCCUUCCCUCCCUUUUCCCUCCCCUCCCCUUCCCUUCCCUUCCCUUCCCUUCCCUUCCCUUCCCUUCCC